ACAAGUACCGUGAGGGAAAGUUGCAAAGCACUUUGAAGAGAGAGUUAAAGAGGACGUGAAACCGGUAAGGUGGAAACGGAUAGAGUCGGCGUAUCAUUCAAUUAUUCAGUUACAUUAUUUUUAUGUUGUGACCUCUGAGCUCCAGAUUGGGACAGAGGGAAUCAGCAUAAUUUUUUGUGGUGCAUUUACUUGAUUGGUGCUUGGGGAUGUUUGAGGCAGAUUUGUUUCCGUCGUUUUGAGGCCAGCUUGCUGGUACCCAAACGGUGUUAGCAUUUUUUGUCUUGGGCAUUUGAGUAUGGCUCACGUGUAUUUAUUGGACAGAUCUGAGUGUAAGUUACGGUCGCAUGCGACACGUGCUUUUCAAUUAGUUCGGUCCAGUUAAUGCUCUCGUACUCGUUCCCCAUGUAAAAGCCGGUCAUCUAUCCGACCCGUCUUGAAACACGGACCAAGGAGUUUAUCGUGUGCGCAAGUUUUUGGGUGUUAAAAACUUAAAAGCGAAAUGAAAGUAAAUGACUCUUUAGAGUCUGAUGUGCGAUCUUGUAAAAAAGUGUAGCAUGGCCCCAUUCUAACUGUUUACAGUAGGGUGGCGGAAGAGCGUACGCGGUGAGACCCGAAAGAUGGUGAACUAUUCCUGAGCAGGACGAAGCCAGAGGAAACUCUGGUGGAAGUCCGAAGCGGUUCUGACGUGCAAAUCGAUCGUCUGACUUGGGUAUAGGGGCGAAAGACUAAUCGAACCAUUCUAGUAGCUGGUUCCUUCCGA
rnacentral:rRNA from 1 species